AUUGAACGCUGGCGGCAGGCCUAACACAUGCAAGUCGAACGGUAACAGGAAGCAGCUUGCUGCUUCGCUGACGAGUGGCGGACGGGUGAGUAAUGUCUGGGAAACUGCCUGAUGGAGGGGGAUAACUACUGGAAACGGUAGCUAAUACCGCAUAACGUCGCAAGACCAAAGAGGGGGACCUUCGGGCCUCUUGCCAUCGGAUGUGCCCAGAUGGGAUUAGCUAGUAGGUGGGGUAACGGCUCACCUAGGCGACGAUCCCUAGCUGGUCUGAGAGGAUGACCAGCCACACUGGAACUGAGACACGGUCCAGACUCCUACGGGAGGCAGCAGUGGGGAAUAUUGCACAAUGGGCGCAAGCCUGAUGCAGCCAUGCCGCGUGUAUGAAGAAGGCCUUCGGGUUGUAAAGUACUUUCAGCGGGGAGGAAGGGAGUAAAGUUAAUACCUUGGCUCAUUGACGUUACCCGCAGAAGAAGCACCGGCUAACUCCGUG
rnacentral:rRNA from 1 species